rnacentral:rRNA from 1 species
CAGCCGCCGCGGUAAUACGGAGGGGGCUAGCGUUGUUCGGAAUUACUGGGCGUAAAGCGCACGUAGGCGGUUAUUCAAGUCAGAGGUGAAAGCCCGGGGCUCAACCCCGGAACUGCCUUUGAAACUAGAUGGCUAGAAUCUUGGAGAGGUCAGUGGAAUUCCUAGUGUAGAGGUGAAAUUCGUAGAUAUUCGGAAGAACACCAGUGGCGAAGGCGACUGACUGGACAAGUAUUGACGCUGAGGUGCGAAAGCGUGGGGAGCAAACAGGAUUAGAUACCCCUGUAGUCCCUGUCUCUUAUAC